AACGUAGGUGGCGAGCGUUAUCCGGAUUUACUGGGCGUAAAGCGUGUGCAGGCGGCUGCCCAAGUGGUGUAUGAAAUAUCCAGGCUCAACCUGGAGGGGUUAUGCCAGACUGGGUAGCUAGAGUGCGAGAGAGGUGCGUGGAAUUCCCGGUGUAGCGGUGAAAUGCGUAGAUAUCGGAAGGAACGCCGGUGGCGAAAGCGACGUGCUGGACACCUUCUGACGCUGAGGCGCGAAAGCCAGGGGAGCAAACGGG
rnacentral:rRNA from 1 species